rnacentral:lncRNA from 1 species
CGGAACAGUAGAUGGAUCGCAGCGUCGAUUUUCCCCAAUUUUUUUCUGUUACUGGAGCUGCAAUCUUCGGAAGAAAAACCGAUUAGGGGAGUCGACUGCCGGAAUCGGAGGUAGCCGUCGGUAUAAGAGGAUCUAAACCCAAAGCCGUCGAUAUGAGAGGAUCCAUAGCCUGAGAACAUAUUGUUUUUCCAAACCCAAAGCCGGCGGAAAUCAAAACAUAUUGUUUGAUCGGUAUGCAAAGUCUCUCUCAGUCACACAUACAUACAUAUAUCGUAUCCCUGAAAAUGAUUUCGAAGAUUGCAUUAAUUUGUUUUGCUAUUUGGAUUUUGUUAACAUUUCUAAAUUCUGGGGUUUUGCUAUUUGGGGUUUUGCUAUUUGGGUUUUGUUCUGGCAUCGAUUUUUACUGCUUGGACUUUUACUUUCUUCUUAAACGUUGUUGCUAUUGGAUAAUAUGGAUUUUAUUUCAUUGUUGCCGGUAUGUAUUAAUAUUUCAUUCUUUUUAUCACAUUCAGGAAGAAGAACCGUAUAUGCUAACUCUUUUGAUUGAUUUGAAGAUAAUUGCAUUUCAUACUUUUUGUUGAGACCGGAAUGGAUGAAUUAAAUUUAUAUAUGUAUAUAAUAUUAAUUCAACUGUGAUUCUAUCAUUUAUUCUUUCAUUUCUUUUGUGUUUUCAAUUAAGUUUCUACUUUGAAGUUUAUCAACAACUAAAAAUGUACUUGAAGCUUAUCUUUUUUUUUAUCAGACAAUUUUUUUACUAAGCAUGAAUUUCUUUACACAUUUUUCUAUUCUAAUAUGGCAAUUUAGAGGUAGGUGGGUGGAUAAAGAUGAUCAUCUUUUAAGAUGAUCUUAAUCUGAUAUGGCAAUUUAGUGAUUGAUUUAAUUGAAUGAGUGUUUUAGGCUCAUUUUACUCUGAGGCUAACUUAUCUUUUUUUUCGUUGUCAGACAAUUUUUUUACUAAGCAUGAAUUUCUUUACACAUUCUUCUAUUCUAAUAUGGCAAUUUAGAGGUAGGUGGGUGGAUGAAGAUGAUCAUCUUUUAAGAUGAUCUUAAUCUGAUAUGGCAAUUUAGUGAUUAAUUUUAUCGAAUGAGUGUUUUAGGCUCAUUUUACUCUGAGGCUAGCUUAUCUUUGUUUUUCGUUGUCAGACAAUUUCUUUACUAAGCAUGAAUUUCUUUACACAUUCUUCUAUUCUAAUAUGGCAAUUUAGAGGUAGGUGGGUGGAUGAAGAUGAUCAUCUUUUAGGAUGAUCUUAAUCUGAUAUGGCAAUUUAGUGAUUGAUAUAAUCGAAUGAGUGUUUUAGGCUCAUUUUACUUUGAGGCUACUUUAUUGUGAUUUACUUGGUUUCUUUAGUAAAAAGAUAGAAAUCUGAGAGACAAGGAACAGAAGGAUCAUUAAACCAUAUAAGUAUUCUAACAAUUAAAAUCAUAUAUUAUAUAAUGUAUUGUUUGUAGGAAUGUGUGGCCUUUUCUUGUGACUGAUUUGCAGCAGUUCAAGAAGGAUUGAGCAUUGAUUUUCUUGAUGAAUACUUUAUGGAACUUGCUUAAUAUAUGAAAUUUGAAACUUUUUGGAUGAAUGUGUGGCCUUUUUUGCAUAUCAUUAAAUCAUCCUUUGUAAUCCAAAUCAAUAAAAUAAAUAAAAAGGAAAAAGAGGGAAACCCCCGCGUUG